rnacentral:tRNA from 1 species
CCGCCCGUAGCUCAGCUGGUUAGAGCGCUAAGCUUAUACCUUAGUGGUCCUUGGUUCGAAUCCAAGCGGGCGGA